rnacentral:rRNA from 1 species
UACAGAGGUCUCAAGCGUUUGUUCGGAUUCAUUGGGCGUAAAGGGUGCGUAGGCGGCGCGGUAAGUCGGGUGUGAAAUCUCGGAGCUUAACUCCGAAACUGCAUUCGAUACUGCCGUGCUUGAGGACUGGAGAGGAGACUGGAAUUUACGGUGUAGCGGUGAAAUGCGCAGAUAUCAGGAAGAACACCCGUGGCGAAGGCGGCUCUCUGGUAACGUGACUGACGCUGAGACGCGAAAAGCGUGGGGGAGCAAAACAGG